rnacentral:tRNA from 1 species
CAUUAGAUAACUAAAAGUUAGUAAAGGUCUCUUAAACCUAUGUAUAAUAGAAUAACGCCUAUUUCUAAUGA